rnacentral:rRNA from 1 species
UACGUAGGGUCCAAGCGUUAUCCGGAAUCACUGGGCGUAAAGCGUGCGUAGGCGGAUAUUUAAGUGUAAAUGCGAAAUCCUGUGGCUCAACCAUAUGGACUGUAUUGCAUACUGGAGUAUCUAGAGGAAUGCAGAGGCAAGUGGAAUUACCGGUGUAGCAGUGAAAUGCGUAGAGAUCGGUAGGAACACCAAUGGCGAAGGCAGCUUGCUGGGGCAUUUUCUG